rnacentral:rRNA from 1 species
UACGGAGGAUGCGAGCGUUAUCCGGAUUUAUUGGGUUUAAAGGGUGCGUAGGCGGUCCGGAAAGUCAGCGGUAAAAGCCCGGGGCUCAACCCCGGCGAGCCGUUGAAACUGUCGGACUAGAGACGGCGAGAAGUACGCGGAAUGCGCGGUGUAGCGGUGAAAUGCAUAGAUAUCGCGCAGAACUCCGAUUGCGAAGGCAGCGUACCGGCGCCGGACUGACGCUCAGGCACGAAAGCGUGGGUAUCGAACAGG